rnacentral:rRNA from 1 species
AAACCAGCACCUCAAGUGGUCAGGAUGAUUAUUGGGCCUAAAGCAUCCGUAGCCGGCUCUGUAAGUUUUCGGUUAAAUCUGUACGCUUAACGUACAGGCUGCCGGGAAUACUGCAGAGCUAGGGAGUGGGAGAGGUAGACGGUACUCGGGAUGAAGUGGUAAAAUGCUUUGAUCUCUCGAUGACCACCUGUGGCGAAGGCGGUCUACCAGAACACGGCCGACGGUGAGGGAUGAAAGCUGGGGGAGCAAACCGGAUUAGAUACCCGAGUAGUCC